rnacentral:rRNA from 1 species
UGGGGAAUAUUGGACAAUGGGGGAAACCCUGAUCCAGCAAUGCCGCGUGAGUGAAGAAGGCCUUAGGGUUGUAAAGCUCUUUCGCCCGCGAAGAUAAUGACGGUAGCGGGAGAAGAAGCCCCGGCUAACUACGUGCCAGCAGCCGCGGUAAUACGUAGGGUGCGAGCGUUAAUCGGAAUUACUGGGCGUAAAGCGUGCGCAGGCGGUCUUGCAAGACAGUGGUGAAAUCCCCGGGCUCAACCUGGGAACUGCCAUUGUGACUGCAAGCCUGGAGUACGGCAGAGGGGGAUGGAAUUCCGCGUGUAGCAGUGAAAUGCGUAGAUAUGCGGAGGAACACCGAUGGCGAAGGCAGUCCCCUGGGCCUGUACUGACGCUCAUGCACGAAAGCGUGGGGAGCAAACA